UACGAAGGGGGCUAGCGUUGCUCGGAAUCACUGGGCGUAAAGCGCACGUAGGCGGCUUUCUAAGUCAGGGGUGAAAUCCUGGAGCUCAACUCCAGAACUGCCUUUGAUACUGGAGAGCUUGAGUCCGGAAGAGGUGAGUGGAACUCCGAGUGUAGAGGUGAAAUUCGUAGAUAUUAGGAAGAACACCGGUGGCGAAGGCGGCCCACUGGUCCGGUACUGACGCUGAGGUGCGAAAGCGUGGGGAGCAAACAGG
rnacentral:rRNA from 1 species